UCUUUUGGAGUGCUGAGACGACUAAGC
rnacentral:sRNA from 1 species